rnacentral:misc_RNA from 1 species
GAUGAAGAACUUAGCGAAAUGCGAUAAGUAAUGUGAAUUGCAGAAUUCAGUGAAUCAUCGAAUCUUUGAACGCACCUUGCGCCUUUUGGUAUUCCGAAAGGCACACCUGUUUGAGCGUCAUGAAUACCUCAAUCUCCAUCUUUUCUUCGGAUUGAUGGGUGACUUGGAUGUUGAGCCCUGCUGGUAUGCUAUAUCAGCUGGCUUUAAACUUAUUAGCCGGCUCUGUACUGGAUCGGUUUGACUCGACGUGAUAAUAUUAUCGUUGAGGAUGCAUGUCUCAUGCAGCCGGAAAGUAUCAAAGCAGCUUCUAGCUUGCCUUUAGUGCACUUUUACAUUUUAGACCUCAGAUCAGGUGGGACUACCCGCUGAACUUAAGCAUAUCAUAAGCGGAGGA